rnacentral:rRNA from 1 species
GAUGAACGCUGGCGGCGUGCCUAAUACAUGCAAGUCGAGCGAACGGACGAGAAGCUUGCUUCCCUGAUGUUAGCGGCGGACGGGUGAGUAAAACGUGGAUAACCUACCUAUAAGACUGGGAUAACUUCGGGAAACCGGAGCUAAUACCGGAUAAUAUUUUGAACCGCAUGGUUCAAAAGUGAAAGACGGUCUUGCUGUCACUUAUAGAUGGAUCCGCGCUGCAUUAGCUAGUUGGUAAGGUAACGGCUUACCAAGGCAACGAUGCAUAGCCGACCUGAGAGGGUGAUCGGCCACACUGGAACUGAGACACGGUCCAGACUCCUACGGGAGGCAGCAGUAGGGAAUCUUCCGCAAUGGGCGAAAGCCUGACGGAGCAACGCCGCGUGAGUGAUGAAGGUCUUCGGAUCGUAAAACUCUGUUAUUAGGGAAGAACAUAUGUGUAAGUAACUGUGCACAUCUUGACGGUACCUAAUCAGAAAGCCACGGCUAACUACGUG